GUAGGAGGCGAGCGUUAUCCGGAUUUACUGGGCGUAAAGCGCGUGCAGGUGGCUGGGUAAGUUGGAUGUGAAAGCUCCUGGCUUAACUGGGAGAGGUUGUUCAAUACUGCCUGGCUAGAGUAUGGGAGAGGGAAGCGGAAUUCCCGGUGUAGUGGUGAAAUGCGUAGAUAUCCGGAGGAACACCAGUGGCGAAAGCGGCUUCCUGGUCCAUUACUGACACUCAGACGCGAAAGCUAGGGGAGCGAACGGGAUUAGAGACCCCGGUAGUCCUAGCUGUAAACGAUGUGAACUUGGCGUCGGUGGGUUUAAAUCCAUCGGUGCCGAAGCUAACGCGAUAAGUUCACCGCCUGGGGACUACGGCCGCAAGGUUA
rnacentral:rRNA from 1 species